AUCUGAUGCGGAGAUGGCAUUCCUCCCGUAACCGCCUUUGCCAAGGCUGAUGAUGCCUACAGUAUU
rnacentral:ncRNA from 1 species